UGGAGGUUCGACAGGUAUAGAUAUUAGCUGGUUUAUAAUUACAAUCCUCAGUACAACAUGGUCCUUCUGUUGGACUACAAAGAAUACAAGACAGGUAGAGGUAUUAGAUGGUUUAUAAUCACAACUCUCAGUACAAGAAUCUUUAUUGUGAGUAUCCCCUGCUGACUGGUACGCCCGCUGUGUGAUACUAACAUUUAAAGCAGUUAGACUUCCCAUUCCUCUCGUUCACUACUGCCUCUUAGACUAACGUGAUGUUUCCUUUACUACACUCAGAGAAAUGAUCGUUGUUAGGGCGGUUACCCUUGGUCGCGCUUGGAUACAUGAUUAAGUUACCCCGAUCUUCUCCAGGUACGCAAAUAUAU